GUCCAAGUAACACUCCAUGACCACCCCUUUUCAUUAAGGGUAUUCUGGUUAUUUUGUUAUGUAAUAAGUUAGACUAUAAAUAGGUUCUAUUAGUUCAUUUGCUAGUAGUUUAUAAAAAGAUGAAAGAUUGAAACACUUGAAAUCCUCUCUCUUGAGAGUAGACCACCUUAGUAUAGUCUUAGUUAGGACUUGGAAAAGUCAUCCUUAGUAUAGGGCUUGGAAAAACCAAUAUUGUUCUUUGUUUGGAAACGGUAGAUUUUGAAGUGAGUCGAUUACCUUAGCGGUCACCGUAAAAGUGUGGUUUUGAUUAUUACAUUCAUUAGGGGUUAAUGUUGAAAUAUACUUGGUUCUUAAUCUUUUAAUAAUCUUGGUCUCACUAUCUAUCCUUUCAUUAUUUUGCAAAUCCGNN
rnacentral:lncRNA from 1 species